CUCUGCCUUUUUAUUGUCUGCAAUACAAAGGCAGUAACUUCCAAAUGAUCAAUAUUUGGUUGCUGAUCACCAUUUACAAAAUCAUCAAAGUAACACGUCUAUAAAAUGUAGUGAUCAUGGCCUGUAUGUCUGAUGCCUUGGUUUCUCCUGGGCUUUUAGACGUUACUGUUAAGACAACCCAUUAGUUUCUUGAAAAAAACAACGGAACUGACUCAAGAUACUUAUCCACAUGAUAAAGGAUGUCUUGAAUGUCCCAAAAAUAUCAUUAACUUAUUUUCGACCAAAAACGAAGUUACUGCCUUUUGCCUUUGCAGGGCAGUAUUGCUGGGGAUCCUGGGCC